AGACAAGCGGCAAAUCACUCGAACUCCACUUCUCUCUGUUCUCCUGCGGCGCAGCUGCGUCCCGGACUGCACAACUCAUCUUUAGAAGCCCUAUUCGGCGCUGAAUGUUGGGCACUGGAUGCAACUUAACCAGCGGGGGGAGGGACCCCCAACACGUCAGCACCACACCGACGGGGAAGGGUGGAGGCCCACGGACACCAUGACGGGAACUCCGGAAGGUCAUUACGUGGGAUGGGCUGACAUUGGACUUACACCCGAACCAGCAUUAACUUCACAUCCAGCAGCUCCACUCACAGCCCGACAUGACAGCACGUCUGAUGUCGUCAUGGCCGCAGCAGACAAUCCGCUGGUGUGUCUGCUGCUCGACAGUCUGACAGCUUCUCCCCUCUCGUCUCCACGGCGAUCACGGAGGCGAGCGGUGCUGAGGCGCGACGGGACGCCCCCCCCCCCCCGGCAGGACCAGCAAAAGGAAGGGCCCUCUGAAGCCCGGCCACGGUGCGGUGGUUUGUCUGAACGCGGAACCUGCUGGGAAAACUAACGCACCUGAACAAUCCGGAUGAGUGCACCGUUCUGACUGCAGAGGGAGGUGAUUCACACCUGUAGCCUGAUAACUGGACCAAAAUCUACUUUGUUUCACUGCAUUAUUCAGUCAGUCACCUUGCCGUCAUAACCGCACCGUGGAGUCAACAAAUGAUGAUUGGAAUAGAUUUGUUGUUCCUUCUGCCCGAUGAUUUAUUUAUUGUGCCGUACGUUAAGUUAAGUACAAGCAACACAAAAAAAUUGUAGUUACUGUGAUGAACUAUCAACUGGUUAUCACAGUAUCUAGUGUAUUCAAUAACGAGGGCUCUACAAAAGUAAGCGAGACCAUCGGCGAGAUUGUUGGCUAGUUCUUUAUGUGCAUUAUUUGAUUCAAAUAAAUUACUACAUUC
ensembl:lncRNA